rnacentral:rRNA from 1 species
AUACGGAGGGUGCAAGCGUUAUCCGGAUUCAUGGGGUUUAAAGGGUUCGCAGGCGGCGUAUUAAGUCAGUGGUGAAAUCCCGAGGCUCAACCUCGGAACUGCCAUUGAUACUGGUAUGCUAGAGUAUAGUUGGCGUUGGCGGAAUGUAUCAUGUAGCGGUGAAAUGCUUAGAUAUGAUACAGAACACCGAUCGCGAAGGCAGCUAACGAAACUAUAACUGACGCUCAGGAACGAAAGCGUGGGGAGCGAACAGGAUUAGAUACCCCAGUAGUCC